rnacentral:rRNA from 1 species
CCCUUAGAUGUCCUGGGCUGCACGCGCGCUACGCUGAUGUGUCCAGUAAGCACCUAACCUAUUCCGAGAGGAGCGGGUAACCUUAGCAAAGCACAUCGUGAUGGGGAUAGAUUAUUGCAAUUAUUAGUCUUGAACGAGGAAUUCCUAGUAAGCACAAGUCAUCAGCUUGUGUUGAUUACGUCCCUGCCCUUUGUACACACCGCCCGUCGCUCCUACCGAUUGAAUGUUCCGGUGAGCUCUUCGGACUGCGCGGUCUGCAGUUUCUGCGUUCCGUGCGGAAAGUUGUGCAAACCUUAACAUUUAGAGGAAGGAGAAGUCGUAACA